GUAGGUGAACCUGCGGAAGGAUCAUUAAUGAGUUAGGGUCUUCUAGGCCCGAUCUCCAACCCUUUGUAUAACUACCAUGUUGCUUUGGCGGGCCCGUCUUUAACCGGACUGCCGGGGGUCUCUUGACCUCUGGCCAGUGCUCGUCAGUAGCCUACACAAAACUCUUUUAAUCAUGUCAAAUCUGAAACUAGUUAAAUAAACUAAAACUUUCAACAACGGAUCUCUUGGUUCCCGCAUCGAUGAAGAACGC
rnacentral:misc_RNA from 1 species